AUUCAAUGUGGAACUACAGUCCAAUGCGCGUUCACGUUCAACCAAGAACCUCCGCCUGGGACAUUUUCAUAACUUCUUCGUCGACAUCACUAUGGCUCCCAAGGUCAAAGAGUCCAGACAAGGAGGAAGAGAAAGAUCCGGAAACAGUCACAAGACCAGAAUCUGGACUAGAAUUUGGCAGUAUAUCCAACCGGCCUCAAAACCGAAGACCACGUGUAA